UUUUAUGAUGAGGUAAUUUGCGUUUGAUAACACCCGGUGACUCUCUUUCGCCGGAGCAGUUAAACCGGGUGAAUAUUUGAUAUUUAAUUCUUACAUAUCCUGACC
rnacentral:snoRNA from 1 species